UCGUCUUUUUACUAAACAGAAGUGAACCAUCAAAUUCUUAUGAAAAAUCGAGAGCAAAUUGUGGACUUCAUGAUACCGAGCUGCAUGACCAGGGAACACACUACAGAAUCUCCGAGGCGAUGAAGCCCGUGCUCGAGCGAGCCACUGAGCUGCACCACGGCGACCACUGGAGUGCACUGCGUUGCUACCGUCGUCGCCGACGCGCCCCCAAACUGCACCCACAGGAGUACUGAGCCGCAUCUAAUGCCAGCGAGACGCACGUCCGUGGUCGCCGUACUGCACAGAAGAUAUCAUCAAAGUUUCUAAAAAACACUAGAAAAAUGCUUCUAAAAAACACUAGAAAAAUGCUUCUGAAUGGAGCGCUGGACUACGUGCCGCAUCGGGCCGCAUUGCAACAGGGCAUUGGAGAUGGCCGGCAAGCGGGUGUUGAUGGCUCUGCCAGGGCUCGUCGCGGCCGGAGCGGGUGCUUGCGAGCUGCGGACUGCACAAGCGAACGCGCCACACUGCCACUAGUCGGACGCGCGUCGGGGAGGAAGCCGCAGUGCCGCGUCGGAGGCUGAGAUGUGGAGCACACCCCUCCUCCCUGGAUGUGGCACCGAGAGGACGAUGGAGACGGAUCCAGGAGAGGGGAAGGACGGUGGAGACGGAUCCGGGGGAUAACCGCCCGCGCUGCAAGACGGAACACCGAUGGAGCCGCUGGACCGCCGGGGAGAUGAAACACAGCUGGAGAAGGGGGCAGAGCAACGGUGGCCAUCGGCGCUGGCCAAAUCGAUGGCAGCUGCUCGGCGCAAGAAGGCCAUCUGGAGGGGAUAUAAGGUCGCGACAGCCCUCCCCAUCGGCGGAUCCGGCGCGUACUCCGCCAGAUGUGGUUGGGUCGGGGCGGCAGCGGCCGAGGCGGUGGUGGGCCAUGCGCGGGGAAGAAGGUGGGAGGAGGAAGGGGUCCAGGGGCGGCAGCGGCCGGGGCGGUGUUGCGCCAUGCGCAGGGAAGAAGGUGGGAGGAGGAAGGGGUCCAGGGGCGGCGGCGGUUUCGGGUGUGGUGGCGGCAGAAGGUGGAGAGAGAGGUUGGGGUGUGGGACAUGGUGGCGAGCGGGGAAGAAGGUGGGUAAGGUGGUGGUGGN
rnacentral:lncRNA from 1 species